UACGGGGGGAGCAAGCGUUGUUCGGAUUUACUGGGCGUAAAGGGCGCGUAGGCGGCCACCGCAAGUCGACUGUGAAAUCUCCGGGCUUAACCCGGAAAGGUCAGCCGAUACUGCGGGGCUAGAGUGCAGAAGGGGCAACUGGAAUUCUCGGUGUAGCGGUGAAAUGCGUAGAUAUCAUUUGGAACGCCAAUGGUGAAAACAGGUUGCCGGGGUGGGUG
rnacentral:rRNA from 1 species